UUAGUUGAUUCCUACACACCUUUGGGGAUCUGAGGGGACUGGGUUUUCUCAUCUGCAAAGAUUUCAGAACCAAAAAAAUCUCAUGUAAGUAAACUUCCCACUGGCAUUUCUGAGACCCAGAACACACACAAGCCCCUCCUGGCUGGUCUGUUGCCAUGUCCAGUGCCCUGCUCCCUGUAACAUCAAUUGGGUCCAAAGGACAGAGCAUUUUCUGGUUCUUGAGAACCUCGGAGAACAUGCUGGGCUUUAGAUCAACUUUUUAUCAGUUCUUCUUCUCAAUCCAUUGCCAGCAGCCUCAACAAAAAAACAGUGGCCAGACAGGCUUGCAGCCAAACCCCGAGAAGACAUGUCCCCAGAAUCUGCCAUCUCAUCUCCCCUUCCCUUUCCAGCUGCUGGCUUCAUAGAGCCAGAGAUUGAUGGCAAAGGCAGCUUCCACUCAACUAGGCCUCCGGGAGUUUCUGGACUGUCCUGAUAAUUAAUUCCACUAGGUGGCUUCCAGCAUUGGGUUGGCAGAAGACAGCUCACGAAGCAGGAUCUUCAGCAAAAAGUGAUUUUUUUCCCAUCUAUCAACUCAUGCAGGAAGAUGAAGAAAGCUCAGAUAAUCUCCAAUUUGUAAUCAUUUAGAUUUUCAUAUCCCCACUCCACCCCCCACCCUCCACUCCCCCCCUCCACCACCACCACCACCUCAUGUCAGCUUCAGGGCUCUCACCUCUGCCCAAAUAGAAAUCUGAGCCAAAUCAGGACCCCCAGAUGGCAGUGAAUGAUCCCCUUUGGGACGACCCCAAGAGGAAACUAAUCCAAGUGUGAAUAUAUUCUUUUGGACCAAGACCCUAAUCACAGUUUUCCCACCCACUCCCCACCCCCAAAUUCCUGGUAACCUGGUUUGAACCAAAGCCAAACAAAACAGAGAUUUGUUGAAACUUCUGCACAAGAACAAAAAGGAAGUUGUUUUUCCCAUUAAUGUGCUAGGUUUGAUGCCCAGAUAAGCAAACACCCUUGCUUGUGGCCAUUUUCAUGUAGAAAAAGGUUGUAUAGUUUGGGUAUCCAUUCACUAUCCCGGAUUUUGUCUUAACCUGGAAUUUCUUGGGAAUACCCCAAAAUUCCAACUUGAAGAAAUGGAUUUGGAAGGGGCUCCGUUAAUGGAGCAGCCCCUCAUCUUCACCUCUAACUCUAACUCUUCAUUCCUCCCUGCAAAGAUUCUGAAAAGAUCUGAAGGCUGGCCAGGAUGGGGUGGAGUGGGGCAGUUCACCUGGACAAGAAAUUACCUGCCUGCAGGAUGGCUGCAUGCAGAUCUCUGAAAUGUUCUCUUGCAUGAGAAGGACAGGGUGGUCGAUUUCAGCUCAAAGUAAGAAAGCACUUCUAAUGGGUGGGGCUGCUAACCAUGGAACUCGAAUGCCAUGUUAGGUAAUGACCAUCGUGACACCACAGUGUUUAAAGAGAGGCUAGAUGAUGUACAAAAUGGGUAUUGCAGGAGGACCCUAGCAUUGCAUAGCAACUAGACUAAACAACCAGGGAAAUUCUCUCUCUCUCUCUCUCUCUCUCUCUCUCUCUCUCUUUCUCUCUCUCCUGGUGUGUGUGUGUGUGUGUGUGUGUGUGUGUGUGUAGGUGUUUGGUGGUUUGAACAUCGGGGCACAGACUCAAGCCACCCUGGCAAAGGCAAGGAACACUGUUAGCAGAAACUCAAAUGUUAGAAUUUGGAGCUCUCAGAGGGAGUUCUAGGUGGCACAGGAUAGAUACCCUGUUCCCCAUGCUCCGUAUCUUGGACAAUUUCAAUGACCCUGUUGACCACCCAUCCAACCCAUCCCCAGUGCCCUAGUAGGAACCACACAGGGUGGGAUAAUACUCAUGGUAUCAUCCCCCAUCUCUGGCUGGCUGUCUCGCGGUGCUUCAGUCCUUCUGCCCAGACUCUAUGCCCUCAGAGACCUGAGGAUUUAGGUAAAAAAGACACAAUUAUCUUCUACCCACUAGCCACCUGCCUAAUGAACAAACAGCCCAGGCAAUAGCAAAUGGCAUUAUCCCAAAAUGGCUUUAUUCCCCUGGCAAAUAAAACAGGAAAUCCCAUUCAAAUCCUUUGGGGUUUUUUUAUUCCAUUGAAUUUAUUGGGGUGAUACACUUAAUAAAAUUAUAUAGGUUUCAGGUGUAUAAUUCUAUAAUACGUCAUCUGCAUAUUUUAUCGUGUGUUCACCAGCCCCAGUCAAGUCUAUUCAAAUCUUCUGAAAGUCCCCACCCAAUGAAGUUAAAUCCAGAAGAGCCAAAACAGAGAGGCGCCUGUACCCAGUUUUACAGCAAGACAAGGCUGCUGCUGCCUCCAGGCAGAAUGCCAUCUCCCACAUCUGUAGCCCCUUCCCAAGUUCUAGAUGCUGCAUUUCUCAAGGAGAGCAUUUGACAAAGAGGUUUGAAAUUCCCCCUUAAUUUCUAUUUGGUGAGUUUCGAGGAGAUGGAGCUUCAUCCUCAGGGUGACCCCCAGUGCAGGCAGUCUCAGGUUGUUUUAUCAUGAGAUCAGGCAGGAUGUGUUUGAACAGAUAGACCGAGCAGCUGCCAAUUUCUAAGAUCCCCCUCUGAGGCUCUGUCCUGAGGAAUAACUCAAGUUAGUGUCUGCCAUGACAUUAUAGUCUUGAAAAAGGAAGGAAACUCCCAAUUCUGUCCCAUUAGGAUGCUCUCAAGAGUUAUGCAUGCAUCUCCCCACCCUACUUGCCCCCCUGAGCUAAUCCAGGUUUGGAAAACCAGGCAGGAAGCACAGGAGAAGAUGCUCAAGACACUUGGACCUUUCCAUGGCUUGGCUCAUGGCCCCUGGUCUUCACUAGGGCUUUGGGCUCUCUCUCUUAAAUGACCUUGACCUCUGACCUUGGUGUGCCUGCUAGGUAGGGUAAAGGAACAUCAGCAGCUGCUGAGCUGGCAGCUGGCCUUUUGCUCCCCAGACCUAUCCUGGCUUUAACCCAAGGUCAAGAGCUGGGGACACCAUUUUCUGCACCAGGAACUCAGGGUUAUCCCCCGAUGUAUGCCCUUGGCACACAGUGGUCUCUCAACUUCUGUGUUUGAGUAAAUAUGUAAAUGAUUAACUUCUGAGUGAAUGAAUGAUGAGUGAAUGUGUGAGUGAAUAGAGGAGUUUAUUAGUUCUUACCUGGCUUGACGCAGUACUAACUGGGAAGGAAGGAGAAAUGGAAGGCCUCUCCCAUUAAAACCUGUAGCAGCCCCACCAACAGCAUCUGUUCUUUGACUCAAUUGGGGACCAAGACGAUGUCCAAAUUUGACACUUGUCUGCCCUAAGGACCUUGGCCUUUUCAGAGUUACACUUCCAGGGGAUCAUUUGGGGCAGCCCCAGCCUCCUUUCCUACCCUCCUACUCUGUAUUUUCAACCUCAUGCUCUAGUUUAGCUCACACAUAGCCCAUAGGAAGACCACAGAGUGGUUUUCCAAUGGGCAAAGCCAAGAGUCUGAGACUUGCUAGGGGCAGGAAUAUGGGAGCCGACAUCUGGAAACUGGAUUGCAUUCCCUGAGCCAGGGGAGUCCAGCUGGAAGAGAAGACCAGCCUUUCCUCCAGCUUUUAGAGCCAAGGGAUUUCCUUUGUUCUGAGCCCCAAUGCCCCCAUGGUAGCAUGUGCCCAGUCCCAUUAGCUAAGACCCUCUGUCUCUCCCAGGAACCCUGUGAGGUUGAGGCUUUUAUGCCAGCAAAGCCAUUCUGAUUGCCCCACCCACGAUGGGGGACAAGCCAAUCACAUUAGCCAUAAAUGACCAAUGUCCUUAGCUCUUUUCUGGGGUCGUGUUCUUGGGUCCUGUUCAUCUCUGGUCAGUUGACGUCUCUAGUCCUUCCUGUAAAGGUGAAAUGAGCAUUACACACACACACACACACACACACACACACACACACACGCUCAUGAGGAAACCAAACAACAGUUUCUUUUUAUGCAUGUGAUGAGAUGAAAUUGUGACCUCCAGCUGCUGUCCUGUCUUGUAAAAUAUGUCCAAAUGUUUAAGAAUUUCUAAGCAAAUGGUCCCUUAAUGAAGUCUGCAGAGUUCAAUAAAGAGGUAUGGAGAAAACAA